rnacentral:rRNA from 1 species
GAUGAACGCUGGCGGCGUGCCUAAUACAUGCAAGUCGAGCGAACAGACGAGGAGCUUGCUCCUCGGACGUUAGCGGCGGACGGGUGAGUAACACGUGUAUAACCUACCUAUAAGACUGGGAUAACUUCGGGAAACCGGAGCUAAUACCGGAUAAUAUAUUGAACCGCAUGGUUCAAUAGUAAAAGACGGUGUUGCUGUCACUUAUAGAUGGAUCCGCGCCGCAUUAGCUAGUUGGUGAGGUAACGGCUUACCAAGGCAACGAUGCGUAGCCGACCUGAGUGGGUGAUCGGCCACACUGGAGCUGAGCCGCGGUCCAGACUCCUACGGGAGGCAGCAGUAUGGAAUCUUCCGCAAUGGGCGAAAGCUUGACGGAGCAACGCCGCGUGAGUGAUGAAGGUCUUCCGAUCGUAAAACUCUGUUAUGAGGGAAGAACAAAUGUGUAAGUAACUAUGCACGUCUUGACGGUACCUAAUCAGAAAGCCACGGCUAACUACGUG